rnacentral:rRNA from 1 species
GGACGAACGCUGGCGGCGUGCCUAAUACAUGCAAGUUGAGCGCUGAAGGUUGGUACUUGUACCAACUGGAUGAGCAGCGAACGGGUGAGUAACGCGUGGGGAAUCUGCCUUUGAGCGGGGGACAACAUUUGGAAACGAAUGCUAAUACCGCAUAAAAACUUUAAACACAAGUUUUAAGUUUGAAAGAUGCAAUUGCAUCACUCAAAGAUGAUCCCGCGUUGUAUUAGCUAGUUGGUGAGGUAAAGGCUCACCAAGGCGAUGAUACAUAGCCGACCUGAGAGGGUGAUCGGCCACAUUGGGACUGAGACACGGCCCAAACUCCUACGGGAGGCAGCAGUAGGGAAUCUUCGGCAAUGGACGAAAGUCUGACCGAGCAACGCCGCGUGAGGGAAGAAGGGUUUCGGAUCGUAAAACUCUGUUGGUAGAGAAGAACGUUGGUGAGAGUGGAAAGCUCAUCAAGUGACGGUAACUACCCAGAAAGGGACGGCUAACUACGUG